rnacentral:rRNA from 1 species
AGCGAACGCUGGCGGCAGGCUUAACACAUGCAAGUCGAGCGCCCCGCAAGGGGAGCGGCAGACGGGAGAGUAACACGUGGGAACGUACCCUUUAGUUCGGAACAACCCAGGGAAACUUGGGCUAAUACCGGAUACGUCCGUAAGGAGAAAAAUUUAUCGCUAAAGGAUCGGCCCGCGUCUGAUUAGCUAGUUGGUGAGGUAACGGCUCACCAAGGCGACGAUCAGUAGCUGGUCUGAGAGGAUGAUCAGCCACACUGGGCCUGAGACACGGCCCAGACUCAGACGGGAGGCAGCAGUGGGGAAUAUUGGACAAUGGGCGCAAGCCUGAUCCAGCCAUGCCGCGUGGGUGAUGAAGGCCCUAGGGUGGUAAAGCCCGUUCGGCGGGGAAGAUAAUGACGGUACCCGCAGAAGAAGCCCCGGCUAACUUCGUGCCAGCCGCCGCGGUAA